UACGACUACAUAUCAGGCAUAUCAAUAAGCGGAGGAAAAGAAACUAACAAGGAUUCCCCUAGUAACGACGAGUGAAGCGGGAAGAGCUCAAAUUUGAAAUCUUAAAGGGUUUCCCUUUACGAAUUGUAGUUUAAAGAAGUGUUUUCUGUUGGAGUUUCGGUAAAAGUUCUUUGGAAUAGGACAUCAUAGAGGGUGAGAAUCCCGUAUUUGACCGUUACUUUCCAGCUGUGUGAUACACUUUCAAAGAGUCGGAUUGUUUGGGAAUGCAGUCCAAGAUGGGUGGUAAAUUUCAUCUAAAGCUAAAUAUUGGCGAGAGACCGAUAGCGAACAAGUACCGUGAGGGAAAGAUGAAAAGAACUUUGAAAAGAGAGUUAAACAGUACGUGAAAUUGUCAAAAGGGAAGCGUUUGACACCAGUGUUGUUUUUCCGAAAAUCAAUUACGAAUGGCGGGAUUCUAAGUUUCAUGACCUUAAAAGCUUGUUUCUUUCUUUUCCUGUCUUUCUUAAUGCACUUUUCGGUUAACAAGUCAACAUCAAUUUCUUUUGUUGUAAAAGGUUAUUUGGAAGGUGGCUUUCUUUUCGGAGAGAGUGUUUAUAGCCUUAUACCUCUACAAUCGGAGAGAUUGAGGUCUGCAGCGUAGAUCCUUCGGGGCUAGAUACACUUGUGCUAAGUUAUAGCUUUUCAUAGACAACUUGUUGACUAUGUUUAGUCAUGUAGCUUACCCGCUUGUGCUAUUUUACCUACGCUUAGGAUGUUGAUCUACAGAGCGAGAGU
rnacentral:rRNA from 1 species